rnacentral:rRNA from 1 species
UAAACUAGGAUUAGAUACCCUAUUAUUUUUAAUGUAAAUUUAAAAUACUAAAUUAGUAUUAGUUAUGUUCUUGAAAAUUAAAAAAUUUGGCGGUAUUUUAGUCUUUUCAGAGGAACUUGUCCUGUAAUUGAUAGUCCACGAUUAGGUGUACUUUAAUUAUUAAUUUACAUAUCGUCGUAGUUUGAAUAUUUUAAUAGAAAAUUUAAUAUUCAAAGUUUUAAAUUAAAAAAUAAAUCAGAUCAAGGUGUAGUUUAUAUUAAAGUAGAGAUGAGUUACAAUAAAAUUAUUUUAGGAUAAUUUUUAUUAUAGGAAUUUGAAUGUGGAUUUGAGAGUAAUUUUAUAUAUUUAUUUAAAAUGAUUAUAGCUCUAAAAUAUGUACACAUCGCCCGUCGCUCUUAA